UCAGACAGAAUAACGCCGCUGAGAUCAGUGCUGUGGAUGUUAAUUGAAUUCUUGGACUUAAUUUGGGAUUCUUUGCAGUCAUCUUCUCUUUCAUCUGCUUUGAUUUCCUGUGUAAAGCGCUGCACGCGGCGAGCGCCACGGAAAGAUCCGCUGAGAGAACAACAGGUGCCACUUUCAAUCAAACACAAGCCAAAGCGACUGUAGCUCGCCGGAUACCGUGCGUGAAAACUGGGUUAUGUGUAUGAUGCUCGGGCGAGGCUGCUGUCAGAGGGGAAAACUGCCUGCUGCCUCUUUCACAGGGCGACUGUACACUGCUCGCUGCUCAGAACGAGGGAACACUGGUGGAGAAACCACGUUUCAACUGUUCCUCUUUUAGCUCGCUGGAUUCAAACUGUGGAUUCAAAGCAAAAACAGUGAAAUAUCUUCUGGUUUAAGGAUCAAUUCUGCAGAGAGCUGGAGAUGUUUCUAUACAAUAGGCUAUUUCAAGUGUUUUUAUCUGUGAGUUGUUUUGUUUGCAGACAACAGGGUGUGAAAAAAUACUUUCAGAGAGAACUAAAAAUACACCGACAGUAGCCCAGACCGGACAAACCGAGCGCUGACUCCAGAGACGGCUGCAGCUUUAAGCCACUUCCUGUGCAGUGGGGCAAAGAUAAGAAGUGGAGAAAGAGCACCGUGGGUCGGGAUGAGAUGGAGCGCAGUGUUGACGAGCAGCUUAUUAGCCGAGCGACGAGAGGUGGAAGAUGAAGCCUGUGAAGUGGAGGCCGAGGACGAGCAGGCACCACUUACCCCUCAUUAGACUCAUCUGAGCAGGGGAGAAAGAAAGCUCCUCUUAUGAGGGAUAUUCCAGCUUUGUAUAGUGGAAAAAUUGGCGCCAUAGUUGGCAGCGAGUCCAACAGCGGAGCUCUUUGACAGCGGUGGUAACUACCGGCAUCUCUCAAACUCCUCCAAGGGGAGCAGGUGGGUCAGGAGUCAGACUCUGAUCACCUCAACCUGAUUCAGCUCACUUGGCCGACGAUGCAAAGCUCUCCUGCUGGUGGAAGACAUUACUCAGCAGCACCAGAGGGGGGCUGCAGAUCAUGGCGAGCGAGAGAGGGAGUUCAGGUGUGUGGAUGCUGCCUGCUGAUUGGACAGCGGGUGUAAUGAUCCGUCUCAGUGUGCUGAGGCUGGAUGUGGAAAACCAACAGCGAGGCUCAUUUGGGCGCACGGCACAUUUGCCAUGUCCUCUGAAUAAUGUUUACCUUGGGGUACGGGUACUGCUUUCCUUUGGGGUACGUCAUGCCGGUGAACCGAGGUAAAGCCAUGUUGGGCACCAGGCUGUCAUUGAGGACCAGGAAGGCCAACCUCUCUCCGUCAGGUGACCACCAGUGAGCCACGUGGGUCCCGAGGAUCUCCUCUGUUGUGGGAGGACAAACAGAAUGAGCCAGUGCGAACACCAAACUGUAAUAACAGCGGCUCAUUCAAACAGUGAAACGGCUUCAGCAACAUCUUUAACAUGUCAGUCACAGACAGUCCGCAACGUUUAGAAGCCGCCGGUUUAUCAGCAGGAUUUACCUUCGUAGAGCCAGUCGGCGAUCCCGUUGAAGAUGACCCCUUCCUUCCCCGACGACGUCAGCCUCAGGGAGUUACUCUUGACGUCUGACUGGCUGCGUACUGCAGGACAGAGUUCACCACCUCUGGAGGGUCCAGCUCCCAAAGCUCCCUGAGAAUAAAGACAAUAAAGCAACAUCAUCGCUCACAUCUGCUAAAGGUGGUCCUCGGACAUCACGCUGCAGGCCGAUUAAUCACUGACGUCAGUUAUCAAGUCACCUCGAGUGCCAGACUACGUGUCCAAUCGAGCUCUGGAGACAGAACGGCAGCCUGAUAUCACAGAUGACCAAGAUUAAAUGAAUAUUCCAGUGCGAUGCCCCCCCAGAGUGACACGAUAACAGAGGAAUUUAUCACAAAACCUCCUGAAGUUAAUCGGCCAUGUGAAGCUUUAAUCCUGUCAGAUGAGCAGCAGGAGUCUUGGAUCAGCACCUCGGACAGCGACUGUGGUUGUUUUAAAGAUCUGUGUGUGAAACAGCAGGAAGCUCCAGACUGUCGGCUGACGGACUAAAACCUUUAUCAUAACGAAACAGUUUACAACCCCACAGUCAACAUGAGCCUGAGCCCAGAUCUGCUGAGUGACUUGUCUUUUAUUUGACUGAUGAUCUCUUGUUUUCUGGCUCAGACUGGCCUUUGUUAGUUCUGCUGCUGAUGGAGAGUAUUGAUAUCGAUUUGCAUGAUGGAACCACCUGAAGGGAUUUCCCUAAAGCAGAGGUUUCCUCCACUGUUGUCGUCCAAGGUCAUGAAACAUCGAUGCUACUCUGUGACCCUGCGGUGUCUCUGUAGCUUCUGCAGGAGAUGCACAAAGCCUUCUGACUAUCCAGCUGUUCAAACAUGUAAUUAAUGUUAGAUUAAUGCACGAAAACGACUCGAGUAAGUCGAGCGAAAGAAUGCUGACACAAACCGCUCCUGGGACUUCACAGUCCUCGGUGGAGAAGUUGCUCUGAUGAUCUGUAGGUUUACACUGGAGUCACUUUACAGCCCGGCACAUUGAUGCUAAAAGGUGCCUUUUGUGUUUGCAUGAG